CCCAUUAGCGGAGGAAAAGAAACCAACAGGGAUUGCCCUAGUAACGGCGAGUGAACAGGCAAGAGCUCAGAUUUGAAAGGCACUUUUGUGCCGUUGUAUUCUGAAGUUAGGGUCCUGAGAAACGAUGCUUAAGUCUUCUGGAAAGGAGCGCCAUGGAGGGUGAUAGCCCCGUCUAGCAUUGACCUCAUAUAGGAUCUUAACAUGGAGUCGAGUUGUUUGGGAAUGCAGCUCAAAUGGGUGGUAUGCUCCAUCUAAAGCUAAAUAUCUGCGAGAGACCGAUAGUAAACAAGUACUGUGAGGGAAAGAUGAAAAGAACUUUGAAAAGAGAGUGAAAAAGUACGUGAAAUUGUUGAAAUGGAAGGGUAGGCCGCUAACCAUGUAGAGCCGUGUUUGGGGGGAAGAUAAAUGCUGUAGAAUGUAGCUCCUCGGAGUAUUAUAGAUGCAGUUCAUAUUCCCACCCGAGCGCGAGGAUCUCACUGCCCUCCGCCCU
rnacentral:rRNA from 1 species